rnacentral:rRNA from 1 species
AUUGAACGCUGGCGGCAGGCCUAACACAUGCAAGUCGAACGGUAACAGGAAGCAGCUUGCUGCUUCGCUGACGAGUGGCGGACGGGUGAGUAAUGUCUGGGAAACUGCCUGAUGGAGGGGGAUAACUACUGGAAACGGUAGCUAAUACCGCAUAACGUCGCAAGACCAAAGAGGGGGACCUUAGGGCCUCUUGCCAUCGGAUGUGCCCAGAUGGGAUUAGCUAGUAGGUGGGGUAACGGCUCACCUAGGCGACGAUCCCUAGCUGGUCUGAGAGGAUGACCAGCCACACUGGAACUGAGACACGGUCCAGACUCCUACGGGAGGCAGCAGUGGGGAAUAUUGCACAAUGGGCGCAAGCCUGAUGCAGCCAUGCCGCGUGUAUGAAGAAGGCCUUCGGGUUGUAAAGUACUUUCAGCGGGGAGGAAGGGAGUAAAGUUAAUACCUUUGCUCAUUGACGUUACCCGCAGAAGAAGCCCCGGCUAACUCCGUG